rnacentral:tRNA from 1 species
UAGCUCAGUUGAUAAGAGUGCUUGCCUAGCAUGCAUGAAGCUGGGGUUCGAUUCCCUA